GUGGGGAAUAUUGGACAAUGGGCGCAAGCCUGAUCCAGCCAUGCCGCGUGUGUGAAGAAGGCCUUCGGGUUGUAAAGCACUUUUGUCCGGAAAGAAAGCGAAUCGGCGAAUACCCGGUUUGGAUGACGGUACCGGAAGAAUAAGCACCGGCUAACUUCGUGCCAGCAGCCGCGGUAAUACGAAGGGUGCAAGCGUUACUCGGAAUUACUGGGCGUAAAGCGUGCGUAGGCGGUCUGUUAAGGCUGCUGUGAAAUCCCCGGGCUCAACCUGGGAAUGGCAGUGGAAACUGGCGGGCUAGAGUACGGUAGAGGAUGGUGGAAUUCCCGGUGUAGCGGUGAAAUGCGUAGAGAUCGGGAGGAACACCAGUGGCGAAGGCGGCCAUCUGGACCAGUACUGACGCUGAGGCACGAAAGCGUGGGGAGCAAACA
rnacentral:rRNA from 1 species